UUAAUGUGUGACAAUACUUAUGACCUGAC
rnacentral:sRNA from 1 species